rnacentral:rRNA from 1 species
AGAGUUUGAUCCUGGCUCAGGAUAAACGCUGGCGGCGUGCUUAACACAUGCAAGUCGAACGAAGUUUUUCUUUCGGGAGGAACUUAGUGGCGGACGGGUGAGUAACGCGUGGGUAACCUACCCUGUACAGGGGGACAACAGCUGGAAACGGCUGCUAAUACCGCACAAGCCCUUAGCACUGCAUGGUGCAUAGGGAAAAGGAGCAAUCCGGUACAGGAUGGACCCGCGUCUGAUUAGCCAGUUGGCAGGGUAACGGCCUACCAAAGCGACGAUCAGUAGCCGAUCUGAGAGGAUGUACGGCCACAUUGGGACUGAGACACGGCCCAGACUCCUACGGGAGGCAGCAGUGGGGAAUAUUGCACAAUGGAGGAAACUCUGAUGCAGCGACGCCGCGUGAGUGAAGAAGUAUUUCGGUAUGUAAAGCUCUAUCAGCAGGGAAGAAAAUGACGGUACCUGACUAAGAAGCACCGGCUAAAUACGUGCCAGCAGCCGCGGUAAUACGUAUGGUGCAAGCGUUAUCCGGAUUUACUGGGUGUAAAGGGAGCGUAGGUGGCAAGGCAAGCCAGAAGUGAAAACCCGGGGCUCAACCGCGGGAUUGCUUUUGGAACUGUCAUGCUAGAGUGCAGGAGGGGUGAGCGGAAUUCCUAGUGUAGCGGUGAAAUGCGUAGAUAUUAGGAGGAACACCGGAGGCGAAGGCGGCUCACUGGACUGUAACUGACACUGAGGCUCGAAAGCGUGGGGAGCAAACAGGAUUAGAUACCCUGGUAGUCCACGCGGUAAACGAUGAAUACUAGAUGUCGGGAAGCAUUGCUUCUCGGUGCCGUCGCAAACGCAGUAAGUAUUCCACCUGGGGAGUACGUUCGCAAGAAUGGAACUCAAAGGAAUUGACGGGGACCCGCACAAGCGGUGGAGCAUGUGGUUUAAUUCGAAGCAACGCGAAGAACCUUACCAAGUCUUGACAUCCUUCUGACCGGUACUUAACCGUACCUUCUCUUCGGAGCAGGAGUGACAGGUGGUGCAUGGUUGUCGUCAGCUCGUGUCGUGAGAUGUUGGGUUAAGUCCCGCAACGAGCGCAACCCUUAUCUUUAGUAGCCAGCGGUUUAGCCGGGCACUCUAGAGAGACUGCCAGGGAUAACCUGGAGGAAGGCGGGGAUGACGUCAAAUCAUCAUGCCCCUUAUGACUUGGGCUACACACGUGCUACAAUGGCGUAAACAAAGGGAAGCAAAGCUGUGAAGCCGAGCAAAUCUCAAAAAUAACGUCUCAGUUCGGACUGUAGUCUGCAACCCGACUACACGAAGCUGGAAUCGCUAGUAAUCGCAGAUCAGAAUGCUGCGGUGAAUACGUUCCCGGGUCUUGUACACACCGCCCGUCACACCAUGGGAGUUGGGAAUGCCCGAAGCCAGUGACCUAACCGAAAGGAAGGAGCUGUCGAAGGCAGGCUCGAUAACUGGGGUGAAGUCGUAACAAGGUA